rnacentral:rRNA from 1 species
GAUGAACGCUGGCGGCGUGCCUAAUACAUGCAAGUCGAGCGAACAGACGAGGAGCUUGCUCCUCUGACGUUAGCGGCGGACGGGUGAGUAACACGUGGAUAACCUACCUAUAAGACUGGGAUAACUUCGGGAAACCGGAGCUAAUACCGGAUAAUAUAUUGAACCGCAUGGUUCAAUAGUGAAAGACGGUUUUGCUGUCACUUAUAGCUGGCUCCGCGCCGCAUUAGCUAGUUGGUAAGGUAACGGCUUACCAAGGCGACGAUGCGUAGCCGACCUGAGCGGGUGAUCGGCCACACUGGAACUGAGACACGGUCCAGACUCUUACGGGAGGCAGCAGUCGGGAAUCUUCCGCAAGGGGCGAAAGCCUGACGGAGCAACGCCGCGUGAGUGAUGAAGGUCUUCGGAUCGUAAAACUCUGUUAUUAGUGAAGAACAAAUGUGUAAGUAACUAUGCUCGUCUUGACGGUACCGAAUCAGAAAGCCACGGCUAACUACGUG